GACGAACGCUGGCGGCGUGCUUAACACAUGCAAGUCGAACGGAAAGGCCCUGCUUUUGUGGGGUGCUCGAGUGGCGAACGGGUGAGUAACACGUGAGUAACCUGCCCUUGACUUUGGGAUAACUUCAGGAAACUGGGGCUAAUACCGGAUAGGAGCUCCUGCUGCAUGGUGGGGGUUGGAAAGUUUCGGCGGUUGGGGAUGGACUCGCGGCUUAUCAGCUUGUUGGUGGGGUAGUGGCUUACCAAGGCUUUGACGGGUAGCCGGCCUGAGAGGGUGACCGGCCAAAUUGGAACUGAGAUACGGCCCAGACUCCUACGGGAGGCAGCAGUGGGGAAUAUUGCACAAUGGGCGGAAGCCUGAUGCAGCAACGCCGCGUGCGGGAUGACGGCCUUCGGGUUGUAAACCGCUUUCGCCUGUGACGAAGCGUGAGUGACGGUAAUGGGUAAAGAAGCACCGGCUAACUACGU
rnacentral:rRNA from 1 species